rfam:Ovis aries breed Texel chromosome 18, whole genome shotgun sequence.
UCCCAGGUGGCUCAGUGGUAAAGAAUCCGCCUCCCAAUGCAGGAGACACAGGUUCAAUCCCUGCUCUGGGAA